rnacentral:lncRNA from 1 species
CAAGCUGUAAUUCAGGGCAGCCUUUUUUCAUUUUGCAUUUCCCCCUGUCUCCUGUUCCAGAAGCAGCAGCAGCGCUUGAGAGCAGAAAUGAGAGGCCCUGGCAGGACUACAAAGGGCUCCGGAGGAGCAGGUACGCCGGGGAUGAGGUCGAAUUCUGCCCUGAUUUACACCCCAUGACCUGGCAGCAGCUAAAGUUUUGCAGACAACCCGACGAGAUAAUCAUCACACGCUGGCAAUCACUUGCCAUCAAUUAUCCCCACGCUGCUGCUGUCAGUGGAUCACAGCCCCUACCUGGUGGGAGUCACUGCUGGUGCCACCGAGGCAUUUUCCAGAAAUGUAGUGUGGGGACGAUGGGAAACAGCUUCCAGACAGGCUCUGAGAUUGAUAUGCACGCCAAAGGGAAAUGCAUUAAACUAUUUAACUGCCUGGAAAUCCAGCAUAAUGAACAUCCAAAGCAUCUCCUUCCAGAGGCUGAUUCCUGCCGUGUUUGAAGCACAAUUGCUGAUAUUCAGGAUCAUCUUCCAGCCCCUCCCGAUAGCUGGG